rnacentral:lncRNA from 1 species
GGCACAGUGGAGGUGGUGAGAAAUGGGCUGUCCAUAAGCAGCAUUUUCUCCUUCAGGAUGUUCACUUUUGAUGGGUACCCCUCUCAGGUGUACCUUUACUGCAGCCUACACCUCUGCCCUCUGCAGGACAACAGCUGCACACCGAACUGCAAUCCUGGCUCUCAGCAUAGAGGACGCAGAUCUGCAGACAACAGAGACAACAUCACUGUUUCUUUUGGGCCACUGAGUUUCCCUGCUAAGAAUACAGAUGUGCUGGAUAUUCUGGCUCCAAUGCCAAAGAGACACUCUCCCAAGCUGUAAAGAUCUUUCAUCUCCACUCCUCUUAAUUCUCUUUUUGGCCUUUGAUAUAAAAUCAUACCUUUUACCUACAGGCCGAACUUCAUGAUUGUUGACUUAAUGAGUAUUACAAUUCCACCUGCUUUGAUUUUAAUAGUCCAUGCUCAUGUGUGUGGUCUCGACUGUUGUGAGCAAAAUAACUGAUUUAAUUGAAAUAUGCACAUAUUAAUAAAAUUACUUUGAUCAGAAA